rnacentral:ncRNA from 1 species
GGGGCAGGGUAGGAUAGGGGUUAGAUUGGGAGAGGAUUAAGGUUAAAGCUAGGUGGUGCCGGUUGGUGGGUUGGUUAGUUUGCAGUGCUGCUGCUGCCGCAGGUGGCCUGCAGAGUAACCGGUUGGCACAUGAUACGGGUCACAUCAUCAGGCGUGGUAAGGCAAACAACCUCGAAGAUGUCAGCAAGAGUUCCGGGGAGAGUUUGCUUUUCUUUGUAAGGGCGGCUAUUACCCCUAGAAUCGGGUAUCAUCACCGCAAAGCACCACCCCUCUUGUGGUGUCCAGAACGCUCUUGUGGGCCCCUGAAAAUCCGAGGGAGGCAGUGUUAUUUUCGUGACACGCUGUACCCACAUCCCCAUCAAGUCUCCAAUGUGAAGAACCUCU